rnacentral:rRNA from 1 species
UACGUAGGGAGCAAGCGUUGUCCGGAAUCAUUGGGCGUAAAGAGCGUGUAGGCGGCCCGGUAAGUCGGUUGUGAAAACUAGAGGCUCAACCUCUAGACGUCGACCGAAACCAUCUGGCUAGAGUCCGGAAGAGGAGAGUGGAAUUCCUGGUGUAGCGGUGGAAUGCGCAGAUAUCAGGAAGAACACCCGUGGCGAAGGCGGCUCUCUGGGACGGUACUGACGCUGAGACGCGAAAGCGUGGGGAGCGAACAGG